rnacentral:rRNA from 1 species
AGUUUGAUCCUGGCUCAGGACGAACGCUGGCGGCGUGCCUAAUACAUGCAAGUCGAGCGGACAGAUGGGAGCUUGCUCCCUGAUGUUAGCGGCGGACGGGUGAGUAACACGUGGGUAACCUGCCUGUAAGACUGGGAUAACUCCGGGAAACCGGGGCUAAUACCGGAUGGUUGUUUGAACCGCAUGGUUCAAACAUAAAAGGUGGCUUCGGCUACCACUUACAGAUGGACCCGCGGCGCAUUAGCUAGUUGGUGAGGUAACGGCUCACCAAGGCAACGAUGCGUAGCCGACCUGAGAGGGUGAUCGGCCACACUGGGACUGAGACACGGCCCAGACUCCUACGGGAGGCAGCAGUAGGGAAUCUUCCGCAAUGGACGAAAGUCUGACGGAGCAACGCCGCGUGAGUGAUGAAGGUUUUCGGAUCGUAAAGCUCUGUUGUUAGGGAAGAACAAGUACCGUUCGAAUAGGGCGGUACCUUGACGGUACCUAACCAGAAAGCCACGGCUAACUACGUGCCAGCAGCCGCGGUAAUACGUAGGUGGCAAGCGUUGUCCGGAAUUAUUGGGCGUAAAGGGCUCGCAGGCGGUUUCUUAAGUCUGAUGUGAAAGCCCCCGGCUCAACCGGGGAGGGUCAUUGGAAACUGGGGAACUUGAGUGCAGAAGAGGAGAGUGGAAUUCCACGUGUAGCGGUGAAAUGCGUAGAGAUGUGGAGGAACACCAGUGGCGAAGGCGACUCUCUGGUCUGUAACUGACGCUGAGGAGCGAAAGCGUGGGGAGCGAACAGGAUUAGAUACCCUGGUAGUCC